GCUCACCAAGGCGACGAUCCCUAGCUGGUCUGAGAGGAUGACCAGCCACACUGGAACUGAGACACGGUCCAGACUCCUACGGGAGGCAGCAUG
rnacentral:rRNA from 1 species